rnacentral:rRNA from 1 species
CUUGUCCUACGGGGCGCAGCAGUGAGGAAUAUUGGUCAAUGGUCGGGAGACUGAACCAGCCAAGCCGCGUGAGGGAGGAAGGUACAGAGUAUCGUAAACCUCUUUUGUCAGGGAACAAAGGCGGGGACGUGUCCCCGGAUGAGUGUACCUGAAGAAAAAGCAUCGGCUAACUCCGUGCCAGCAGCCGCGGUAAUACGGAGGAUGCGAGCGUUAUCCGGAUUUAUUGGGUUUAAAGGGUGCGCAGGCGGUCUGUUAAGUCAGCGGUCAAAUCCCGGGGCUCACCCCCGGCCCGCCGCUGAAACUGG